GGAAGGUUGUCAGGAGACACCAGCCUACCAUCCAGGGAGCAGCAUGUAAUGAUACACAGUUCAUGAAAUGGUGCCACCCACAUUCAGGGUGGAUCUUCUCACCUUAAGUAACCAUCAAGACAGGCCCCCUACACUCCUGCCCACAGGCCAACCUGAUCUAGCCCGAUAGACUACAGUAGACAUCCCAACACGCAGAGCAAAGCAGAAGACAACGCUGGCCACAGUUCUCAUCGAGAAACACAGGAACGCACACAAGACGGACUUUCCGCCGAUGGAGCAAGGCUGAAAAGUUGGGAAACCAGAAGUGGGACCACAGCUCAGGUGUGAGCUCCUUCCUAACAUGCCUGAGACCCUAGGUUCCACCCCCAGUACUGCCAGGAAAAAAAGCAAGGGAAACAUUGAUGGGAGGUUGCCUUGGCAAUACUUGACAGGCCAGGGAGGUGGCUUAGUAGGUAAAGGGCUUUUGUGAGUUUGAUCCCCAGAGCCCACAUGAAAGCCAGGCACAUAGCGCUCCUGGAAGACAGAGACUGAAGGGUCCCCGGAAGCUAGGUCAUGGUUAUACACAGCUUCAAACAAAACAAAGACCCCUCUCUUCUUAGUUAGGGUUUCUAUUGCUAUAAGAGACACCAUGACCACGGCUACUCUUACCAAGGAAAACAUGUCAUUGUGGUGACUUGCUUACAGCUCAAAGUUUCAGUCCAUUAUCGUCAUGGCAUGAAGCAAGGCAGACAUGGUGCUCGAGAAGGAGCUGAGAGUUCUGCAUCUUAAUCCACAGGCAACGGGAAGUGCUCUGACUCACUGGGAGACCUCAAAGCCCACCUCCACAGUGACACACUUCCUCCAACAAGGCCACACCUCCUAAUGGUGCCCCUCUCUUUGGGGGCCAUUUCCUUUCAAACCACUUCACCUCUCAACCAAGGCAGAAAAUGGCAAUUGACCCCUGAAAUGGCCAGCUGGCCUCUACAUGCUUGCUGUGGUACCCGUGACUCGGGCACAUACACACACAAUACCAAAAAAAAAAAAAAAAGAACUUUUUGUUUUAAAUUGAAGGCCUGCCUUGAUCUAAAGUCCUUAGGAAAAAAGCUUUGAUGACAAGUUUUAUGUCCAUCCCUUUAGAGCACAGAACCCAGCCCCUGACUUACAGCAGGAACUGAGUGUAUGCUGAAUGAAUCUUAGUUAUUACCAUCGUUAUUAAAUGACUACAUAGCUUUCCACUUCAACCUGAGGACAGUAAGGGAAAGUAUAAUUAUUGUCUCUGGCUAAAAACUGAAUUGAUAGGAAAGGUCAGAUCUGCACUACCUUCUACAGACACCAUUAGCAUACUCUUUUGUCUGGGUUUUAGCUAUCUUUUGUUCAAGACAGUCUCAGAGACCAGCUGGCCUUGAACUCACCAUAUAGCUCAGGAUGACCUUGGCUUCCUGAUCCUCCCGCCUCCACCAUCCAGGUGCUGGGGCUACAGUUAGGCUCUACCACACCCAGUUUGCAAUUAGUGCUGUUAGAAAGCUGCUUCACCUGCGCGAAGAACCUUGCAGCUACUCCCAUCCUGUCAGCUGCAGGCCUUGAAGAACUAAUGGCCACUCUUUCUUCAGUCACUGUGGUCCACUUGGCUGUGGACAGGGCUGACACGGUCUUUAGGAGAUCCUUUUAUAUACUGCGAUAUUGAUUUUUAAAACAUUUUUAGUCGACACAAUGAAAAGCUCACCCAGGGGUCUUCCUUCAAAUCUAGAGUUAAAAAUCCAUAUCUUAA